rnacentral:tRNA from 2 species
GGCAAGAUGGCCGAGUUGGUUAUGGCGCCAGGUUAAGGUUAUCUUAACAUGUAUCCUGGUUCGGGAAACUGAGCGUGGGUUCAAGUCCCACUCUUGUCA